UACGUAGGGUGCAAGCGUUAAUCGGAAUUACUGGGCGUAAAGCGUGCGCAGGCGGUUCGCUAAGACAGAUGUGAAAUCCCCGGGCUUAACCUGGGAACUGCAUUUGUGACUUGCGGGCUAGAGUAUGGCAGAGGGGGGUAGAAUUCCACGUGUAGCAGUGAAAUGCGUAGAGAUGUGGAGGAAUACCGAUGGCGAAGGCAGCCCCCUGGGCCAAUACUGACGCUCAUGCACGAAAGCGUGGGGAGCAAACAGG
rnacentral:rRNA from 1 species